rnacentral:rRNA from 1 species
UAGCGACAGGCCUAACACAUGCAAGUCGAGGGGCAGCACAAGGAGCAAUCUGAGGUGGCGACCGGCGCACGGGUGAGUAACACGUAUGCAACCUGCCUGUAAGCGGGGAAUAACCCGUUGAAAGACGGACUAAUACCGCAUAAUACUAAAUUACUGCAUGGUAAUUUAUUUAAACAUUUAUGGCUUACAGAUGGGCAUGCGCAUGAUUAGCUAGUUGGAGAGGUAACGGCUCCCCAAGGCAACGAUCAUUAGGGGUUCUGAGAGGAAGGUCCCCCACACUGGUACUGAGACACGGACCAGACUCCUACGGGAGGCAGCAGUGAGGAAUAUUGGUCAAUGGACGAGAGUCUGAACCAGCCAAGUCGCGUGCAGGAAGAAUGUCCUAUGGAUUGUAAACUGCUUUUGCAGGGGAAUAAAGUGCAUCACGUGUGAUGUUUUGUAUGUACUCUGCGAAUAAGGAUCGGCUAACUCCGUGCCAGCAGCUGC